AUCGCUUCUCGGCCUCUUGGCUGAGAUCAGGAGAAGCAUCUGUUCUUAUCAGGUUAAUAUUUGUUAUGUCCUCGAUGAGGGGGUGACAAAUUAGAUGGAUUUUCAGGAGCUGAGGAAGGGGCUCGAUCCGCCACUGAUCUUCUCCUAACUUUGUGGUGUCAUCUGCAUAUUUAAUAAACUGGUU
ensembl:snRNA U2 U2 spliceosomal RNA